rnacentral:rRNA from 1 species
UGGGGAAUCUUAGACAAUGGGCGCAAGCCUGAUCUAGCCAUGCCGCGUGUGUGAUGAAGGCCUUAGGGUCGUAAAGCACUUUCGCCAGAGAUGAUAAUGACAGUAUCUGGUAAAGAAACCCCGGCUAACUCCGUGCCAGCAGCCGCGGUAAUACGGAGGGGGUUAGCGUUGUUCGGAAUUACUGGGCGUAAAGCGCACGUAGGCGGAUCAGAAAGUAUAGGGUGAAAUCCCGGGGCUCAACCCCGGAACUGCCUUAUAAACUCCUGGUCUUGAGUUCGAGAGAGGUGAGUGGAAUUCCGAGUGUAGAGGUGAAAUUCGUAGAUAUUCGGAGGAACACCAGUGGCGAAGGCGGCUCACUGGCUCGAUACUGACGCUGAGGUGCGAAAGUGUGGGGAGCAAACAGGAUUAGAUACCCUGGUAGUCCACACCGUAAACGAUGAAUGCCAGACGUCGGGCAGUAUACUGUUCGGUGUCACACCUAACGGAUUAAGCAUUCCGCCUGGGGAGUACGGUCGCAAGAUUAAA